UACGUAGGGGGCAAGCGUUGUCCGGAAUCAUUGGGCGUAAAGAGCGCGUAGGCGGCCCUGUAAGUCCGCUGUGAAAGUCAAGGGCUCAACCCUUGAAUGCCGGUGGAUACUGCAGGGCUAGAGUCCGGAAGAGGCGAGUGGAAUUCCUGGUGUAGCGGUGAAAUGCGCAGAUAUCAGGAGGAACACCGGUGGCGAAGGCGGGUCUCUGGGCCGAUAUCGACGCUGAGGAGCGAAAGCGUGGGGAGCGAACAGG
rnacentral:rRNA from 1 species